GCUGGGUUAGCUCAGUUGGUUAGAGUGUGGUGCUAAUAACGCCAAGGUCAUGGGUUCAAUCCCUGCUCACUGCA
rnacentral:tRNA from 1 species